AGAGUUUGAUCAUGGCUCAGAUUGAACGCUGGCGGCAUGCUUUACACAUGCAAGUCGAACGGCAGCGCGGGGCAACCUGGCGGCGAGUGGCGAACGGGUGAGUAAUAUAUCGGAACGUACCCAAGAGUGGGGGAUAACGUAGCGAAAGUUACGCUAAUACCGCAUACGAUCCAAGGAUGAAAGUGGGGGAUCGCAAGACCUCAUGCUCCUGGAGCGGCCGAUAUCUGAUUAGCUAGUUGGUGAGGUAAAGGCUCACCAAGGCGACGAUCAGUAGCUGGUCUGAGAGGACGACCAGCCACACUGGAACUGAGACACGGUCCAGACUCCUACGGGAGGCAGCAGUGGGGAAUUUUGGACAAUGGGCGCAAGCCUGAUCCAGCAAUGCCGCGUGAGUGAAGAAGGCCUUCGGGUUGUAAAGCUCUUUUGUCAGGGAAGAAACGGUAGAGGCUAAUAUCCUUUGCUAAUGACGGUACCUGAAGAAUAAGCACCGGCUAACUACGUGCCAGCAGCCGCGGUAAUACGUAGGGUGCAAGCGUUAAUCGGAAUUACUGGGCGUAAAGCGUGCGCAGGCGGUUUUGUAAGUCUGUCGUGAAAGCCCCGGGCUCAACCUGGGAAUUGCGAUGGAGACUGCAAGGCUUGAAUCUGGCAGAGGGGGGUAGAAUUCCACGUGUAGCAGUGAAAUGCGUAGAGAUGUGGAGGAACACCGAUGGCGAAGGCAGCCCCCUGGGUCAAGAUUGACGCUCAUGCACGAAAGCGUGGGGAGCAAACAGGAUUAGAUACCCUGGUAGUCCACGCCCUAAACGAUGUCUACUAGUUGUCGGGUUUUAAUUAACUUGGUAACGCAGCUAACGCGUGAAGUAGACCGCCUGGGGAGUACGGUCGCAAGAUUAAAACUCAAAUGAAUUGACGG
rnacentral:rRNA from 1 species